GCGGAAUGAAUCCCCUCCAAACGCAAGUCACACCGCGCACGACGAUUUCUCCGCGUUGCUUGCAGUUCUCAAUGAGUCACGGCUGCGGCAGAUUGCCAGCACUAUGUUUCUCCAGCGCCCCAGUUUCCUCAACUCAGAGAAGUCAAAGCCAAGAGCACAACCAAGCGCGGAAAGAGGGGGAACAGAUGGAGCACACUGCAGCCCUGGACAGAGCCACAGCACUCAGCGUGGGCAGCUUUUACUCAGCCGGUGGAAAGGGUGAGGAGGGGAGAGGUGAGGAUU